rnacentral:rRNA from 1 species
AUUGAACGCUGGCGGCAUGCCUUACACAUGCAAGUCGAACGGCAGCACGGGAGCUUGCUCCUGGUGGCGAGUGGCGAACGGGUGAGUAAUAUAUCGGAACGUACCCUAGAGUGGGGGAUAACGCAGCGAAAGUUGCGCUAAUACCGCAUACGAUCUACGGAUGAAAGUGGGGGAUCGCAAGACCUCAUGCUCAUGGAGCGGCCGAUAUCUGAUUAGCUAGUUGGUGGGGUAAAGGCCUACCAAGGCUUCGAUCAGUAGCUGGUCUGAGAGGACGACCAGCCACACUGGAACUGAGACACGGUCCAGACUCCUACGGGAGGCAGCAGUGGGGAAUUUUGGACAAUGGGCGAAAGCCUGAUCCAGCAAUGCCGCGUGAGUGAAGAAGGCCUCGGGUUUGGUAAAGGUACGUCUUUU